GAUUUUUUUUCCGUGGGUCUCAACUUUCUGGUUCUCCGAAGUGUCGUUCGGUCUCUUGAACAAGGUGGUGUUACUAUUAGAGUUCCGGCUCAAGGUGUUGA